ensembl:lncRNA
GUUGACAUAGAGGAUCGGGACUAAAUGGAGACUGGUUCAGGAUCAGUUCAAACGUCUUCACACUCGCUUUAACAAAGCCAUCUGGAGUUAAAGUCCACUUUCACGCUCUGCUCAUUUUUGAUGCAAUCCAGUAGAAAUCUCCCAAAACAGGCAGGUGGGCGGAGCCUGAGUAGAUGGUGUGUGUCAAGAUGCUGGGUGACAUUUGGGACGUGGUCCCUGAAGAGCCCCCUACCUGCCAGCGGGGUCCGACCUGGAUGUGGACAGUGGUCUUCCGGUCCCAGAGGACGGUGACGUCUUCGUCGGGGAAAUGAACCACGGUGAAGAACCCGGCCGGCCACAAGAACAUCCUCUGCUUCCUGUCGAUCGCGCUCGAUGGAUUCUGCGAGAAAAAAACUUUUUAAAACGUGACAACAUUUUCCCGCCUUCUCAUUUCAAUCUAAAAAGCUGAUCUCACGGGUUCCCCCGAGUCUUCGUCGAAGGCCACGGAGGAUCCGCCCACAUUGACCACGAGGGACUUCCUGCAGACGACUCCGCCGUCGAAGCAGCCGACGUUCUCAGCCGUCACGCUGAGCAUCACGUCGCCGCUGCUCUGUGGAGGACAGGCCACGCCCCUUUCACUUCGCAGGAACGCAAAGGGCUAAAAAAAUGCCGUUUGACUUUACUUAAGUGCACACGGUGUGUGAGGGCCCGGACAGACGGCGCACAUUGGAGGACAUACCUUCACCAGGUGGACCUCGCAGGCGCCCACGUAGUCGAACAGCAGCCCGUCGAACGUCCCGUAGUGGCGGUCUCCGUAGGCCGAGCACAUGGCCGGGCACGCACGGAACGCACAGCGGAACGUCCCGUGCUGGCAGACGCUGCAGAGACAGCAGAGCCUCAGUGAUUCAGCAUCGACUUGUCGAGGCUAAUGGGGGGUCGGGGGGGUCGGGAACAGUCGCAGGCUGAUUCUGCCGCCAUUAGUCUGUCAUCUGGUUCGAGUUCUCCCUUUCAGCGGCCCGGAGCGAAGAGUCGCACAAGGGCCCGCUCUGUUUUUUUGUCUUUCUCUUUCUUUCUGGCCCUGUUGAUCGGGGAGAAUUAUGGAUAUCGGGUGGCCCCUUCCUGUCAAUCCCAGGAGAAAAAAUUAGCAUCGCUGAUGGAGAUUUGUCCUGUUUCUGACGGACAGUGUGUGAAACACUCAGGGGUAAUAAAGGCUGGGGGGGGGGGCAAAAUGGGUCCAUUAAGGGGUCGUGGACCCCCCAAUACUUUGUAAACUCUUGACAGAUAUUUUUGACUGGUGGCUCGACGAUCAGGUCUUUGCGGCCGCGUGCGAGUGAGUAAAUGUGUUGCCGCGGUAACGGCGGAGGGUUAGCAACAAAACCACGUAGCGAAAUACGGUUUUCUGUUAACAUCCGAAGAAGGAGAGGAAGAGUAAGACGUCUUCCUGGUUUGUCAUGUGACGCCAUGUGGCCCAAAAAAAAAGAUUUCCCAUAGACUCAAAUCGGGAAAGAGACUUUUGUAACUAAGAGGGUCUUUUUCUCUUCCCAGCAUGGACCCUUGAUCUGAAUCAUUGCAGAGAUUUCAUCCUUCUUCCAUUGGACUCUGAACCUGAAGCCCUUCAUACAUCCGGGAUCCGUCCUGCAGGCUCAUGUUCAUUUAUCUAUAGAAAAGCUUUCUGCACCAAUGAAGGAAGGAAAUAUUCUGUGUUUUAAUGAACUAAAGAGUACUUGUGGUAAAUGCUGGUCGUACCACUGAUGGCAGGGGGAGGAGACUCGGUCGCCGGGGUAAUACUCCUUUCCUUUCCACAGACACGGACAGGAAGCAGCUUCGAAGCACUCGUCUCCAUGUUUCAGCAGGCUGCAGACACACACACACACACACACACACAAAUGAAGAGCUGCUUCAUCUAGAAAAAGGAGCUGGGAUUUGGUGGAUUGAGUUGAAUUAUUUCUUCUUAGACAUCCAUGAGAUUCCUUCAGUUUGGCUUCACCUUCUUAACUUAUAACAUUUACCCAGAUGCCCAAAAGUAUAUGACGUUUAUUCAUCUACUAACACACUCCUAACUGGAUCAACAAUAAGAGAGUCCUUCUGCACUCGGGGUCCACUCAGUCCUGAUAAACAUAUAACGCAGUAAUAAAUAAUACAUUGGGACGGCAUUCAUUCCAGCAGGGUUAUCAUCAGGCAUCAUCCUCCAUUCUAUCCGCCCCGAUGAUCCCACGUCUUUGUGAUCAGCUGAUUGGGCCGAUGAGCGACAUCAUCAAUGAAGCGGCGCGGGCCGGUUGUGAUCAUCGUUUCUUGUGUUUCGGCGACCCAACGAGGGAAGCGUCCUCAGAGGCCGAGCCGCAGCAGACACACCGUUAGCUACAUGAGAACACCAGACGAUUAGGAUUCUCAGAGAUAGAGGGAGAGACGCCCUUUGUUGCCCGGGACGGGGGCUGAUAAGUAUCUUGUAGUAUCCCGGGUCGAGAGCCACAGACCUCGGGCUCCGAUGAAACCGCGUUAACAGCGUCCUUUGUGCGGCCGCCAAACCGCCGUAUCGAUUACUCCGAUCAAAGGUCCCACAGAGGCAGCGGCGCAUCGCGAUACAUCCCCAUCAACCCGGGAUUUAAUCCCAGCAGAGGAUUGUAAAAAGGUGGCGGGUCACUUCUUCAAAUCAAACCCAUAGGAGCCGGUGAGUCUUCUGCUCUUCUCCAACACAGCACGGCGUUCCUUUAGUAACCGACUGUCCAUUUAGAGCAGGGGUCUCAAACUCGCGGCCCGCGGGCCAAUUGCGGCCCUCGGGACGAUAUUUUGUGGCUCCAUCCUUAAUAUGAAAGUGUAAUGUUAGUGCGGCCCGCAAGUUUUAUACUGUAACCCCACUGUCAGCUGCUGUGUGGGACAUGUUAUGAUGUUCUGGUUUCCUACUGUGUGCUUGUCCAGUGAACGUGGCAUGCAUGUGACUGACAUGGGGGGCGGGUCGUGUGUGUCGGCCGAGGUGCAGAGAGCAGGAGGGUGAAAUUCAGUUUCCUGCCCUCUUUCGCGCAGGUGAUCAUGUGACUAACCGUUAGCAUCGCUCGUUUAAUAAAGUUUUCCUUUACGACUCACACUAACAACACAAGAAGCAUCUGACGUCACCGACGAGCGUCUCCGUCCAUUACUACGCAGCUUCGAUUCACGUAACUUCACGUUUGGCUAUAAAGGAAUUCCACGGUCACAUGACCUUAGGUCUCCCCCGCUGAGUUAAAGGAGGACUAGUGUUGUAGUCUCAUUGGGACCGAUCCCCCAGGGUGGGGUUCAAUGACUGCUUUUGAAAGUGAGUGUUAAGUUGUGUUAUUGUCGACCAUGCCGUUCGGACGCUAGUUCGG